rnacentral:rRNA from 1 species
UACGGGGGGGGCAAGCGUUGUUCGGAAUUACUGGGCGUAAAGGGCUCGUAGGCGGCCAACUAAGUCAGACGUGAAAUCCCUCGGCUUAACCGGGGAACUGCGUCUGAUACUGGAUGGCUUGAGUUUGGGAGAGGGAUGCGGAAUUCCAGGUGUAGCGGUGAAAUGCGUAGAUAUCCGGAGGAACACCGAUGGCGAAGGCAGCCCCCUGGGCUAGCACUGACGCUCAGGCACGAAAGCGUGGGGAGCAAACAGG